rnacentral:lncRNA from 1 species
CUGAGAAGCUAUCCCAGAAAAACAUCAAUUUGAUCUUUGCAGUGACUGAAAAUGUAGUCAAUCUCUAUCAGAACUAUAGUGAGCUCAUCCCAGGGACCACAGUUGGGGUUCUGUCCAUGGAUUCCAGCAAUGUCCUCCAGCUCAUUGUUGAUGCUUAUGGGACUCACCUAGACGCAAGUGGAGAUGGAAAGAGGGAGCAGGUUCCUG